UAAUGGGCUGCCAGUGAUGGACCAUUAGGGACAAGUCCCUAAGUCAAUACGGGACAGAGACAACAGCAGUAUCAGUUCUCAAAGUACUGGGGACUUUUUGAGACCCAGUCAUGGAAUAACAUGGAAAUCGCAGUUUUCCCCUUCUAUAGAAGUUCUUUGCUGGCCCCUGUGAUUAAAAGGGAAUAAAAACAACUUCAGGACUUGUGGGGAGCAAGGCAGAACUGCUGACUGCUUGAUUUCAAGCAGUUCAUCCAUCGGUAUAGCCUGGUCUAAAAGCACACUGGACAGAUAGCAUUGACCGACCAAGAGGAACCUCAGCCCACCACAGGCACAGCCCAGACUUUUGGGGCAAGGACGGGGAGCAGCAUGGCCUACAGCCAUGGCCAUGCAAUGCAUGACAAUCCCCACCUCUGCAACCUCCUCCUUCCAGAUCCACACCCGAUCCCAGUCCAGGACCAACACCCACCUUGGAGCAAACCACAUCUUGUGCAGCAAUGCAUUUGUUCUGCUCAUCUCUUUGGUAUACGAGCUUAACAUAUAUUAAACUAAUACACCGGAGAAGUUCAAGGAUUAAUGCCAUAUUUAUGUAAACAAUAGCAAGCCUUUUGCAGUGCUAAAUGAAAGCCCAACCACCUGCAGCUAGGUUUAGUUUGGCAGUGCUCUCCAUAAAUAAAUGCACUGCUAGCAUCACAGCUAUGCUUGCUCAGUUUGAUAAUUCAGCCAAUGUUAGACCUUUCAUCAAGCAGUUCAGUGUACGAAUGCUCAUUUUCCCAAAAAUAAUUGGAGCCUUUGGGGUUUCUUUGGAUGGCUUUUCAAUAGACUUAAGCCAUGCUAUGAAUGGGGUAUUAAAGGACAGACCAGUGACAGAAUGAACUCUCCCUUGUAGAUUUAUGGCCAGGAGACACCAAUAAAGAGAGUACAAAGAAAAUUUUUUGUUUGUUUGUUUUUAAAUGGCACUUAAAAAAGACAUAUUUUCCCUGGUGCUCAGGUACUGGACUUAAAUGAGUCAAACAUAAAGAAAAUUCAGAUGAUAACAGUUCGGAGAUUUACAGCAGGCAUCUCCACACUAAGCAACACACUGGGACUCUGACCUUCUGCAAAGGUCUGCAGAGGUCUCCCAAAUUGCUUUCCCCUUCACAUGUUUGAGGGUGCAUUGCUCAACAGCCAGAGGUACUUUUGCUGUGGUUUAUUUUGCUUCCCUGGAACAUGAUCAA